rnacentral:lncRNA from 1 species
GGGAAACUAGUUGGCUGCCCAACCAACAACUUAACGAUGAAGCAAAAUAGUUUCAUACCAAUAAAAAAAAUUACCUAGUCGAAACUUUUUUCGGAGGAAAAUUUAAAUUUUUUUGUGUAAAUUUUGGUAUUCGAACACUGUCCAUUUAUGAGUUGAGUUAAUAAAUAAUAAUAAAAAAGCUGGUUGUGGCUCUUUUUUCGGGCCAACAAGGAUUGGGUCAUAGACAGGCCCACACAAAAUUCAGCCCAUAGAAAGGAAACCUGUUGCCUCUUGGCCGGAAAAUUCCACCCCCCCC